GGAUUGUAAGGAAGAGUUUAUGUAGAAUAAAAAAAAGGCAAAAAGGACAAAAGCAGAUUUUUAUCUCUUUCUUCUUCUGUUUCUUCUUUUCUCUCUCUUUUCCUUAUGAUGUAUUAUCGCUUUUUUGGAGUGGUUAACUGGCGCUGAAGGCAAGCUUCUCUCUCUCUUUCUCUCUCAGCUUUUUUACUUUUGAGUCUGAGUCGUUAAGCUAUGAGGACUCCUCUGUAGAAAAAAUCUUGUUUGCUCCUCAUAUUUGCGAUUGAUUCCUAUGUUGACAGCUACAUAAGUGCCAUUGGAGUUGAUUUUAAAAUUAGAACUAUAGAGCUUGAUGAAAAGCCGAUUAAGCUUUAGAUUAUUGUCUAUGAUGUGACAAUGAAAAAAGCUAUUUGCACUCGGGAGGUGUAACCCCUGCGUACACAGGCCCUCCACGGGGAUAAAUGAAACGCCUGGUUUCUUGUGUUUAAAUCAGCCGCUGCAUUUAAUCUCCAAACAAAUCAAAUUCAAAUGCUCUCAGUCUCUUCCCUUCGGCUCCCUUCCCUUUGGACAACCCACAAGUAGAUUCGAAAGCAGCACGAUCACUCCUCUUUGGACAACCCACGAGCAGCAUCGCAGUCAUCAAAGUCAUCAACAAGCAGAUUGUGCAUUCUCAUUCUUUUAGUAGGAAGAUUGUGCAUUCGCAGUUGACCUUUAAAAGCUCUUGUUAUUGGCAAUCGUUCCAGCAGAAAAGCUUUUGGAUGUCGAGAGACGCUGGUUGUCUUAUCGAUGGAGAGAUUGAUUGUGAUAAUUCAUCCAGAAUUGAACCGAAGCAGAGCCAUCAGUAUCAGCAUCAUCAUUAUCAGUGUCUUUUUCAUCUUCUGCUAAACAUACUUUGAGUCAGCUAUUCUGCUUCUGUGAGGUAGAAGUGUGGGAAAGUAGGCCAUGAAGUGAUGCCCCAAGAGAAACACUCGAGAGUUAGGUGUAGUGAUGACCUGUAUGCUUUUGACUCAAUCCUGGCCUUGGGAAUUAUGAUUGAGGUCCCCUUACCAGGAUGGUGUCAUUUUUUCAAUUAUUGCUUGCAUCCAUUUGUUAGCUUAUUAUAGGUCAAUGAAAGAGCAGAGAAUUGUUUAAUUAAUCUCAUGAUUCUGUCCUAACAAGUUGCAUACGACAAGAAAGAGAUGAGUGAUGUUCGUAUAUGGUAAAAAGAAUUCAUCAAAAAAUGUAAGUUACAUAAGACAAGAAAGGAUAAUCACUCCACCAAGAAAAGUAAACAAAUCAUUAUGUCUAAAAUAUCAUAAUCACAGUCAAGUCAAAUGAGGCAAUCGUCGGUUUCAAAGUGCAGUCCAUCAAUUUGCCUCGUGAGGUUGUUUAAAAGAAUCAUGGCAUUGUAAUCACUCUUAUUAGCAGUCGUAGCAUGCCUUGUCACUGUGGCACUGUCCUAUGGAGUUGUCACGCCCCUGCACAGACAUCUUAUUUACAGAAGCAAUGCGCAGUAAUUUGUCUUAAAUUCUCCUUACAUAUGUUAAUUAGUUGCAGUUAACUUAUUAGUGGCUUGUUUUGGUCUUAGUUUUGAUGUAAACUCUCCAUUUUUUUGGGACAUAACCUUCAAUACGCAGGACAAGCCCCAGGAUUUUAUUAAGAGGCAGCAGUUGCGUGAAUUAGCUAUGCUAAAUUCAAAUUUCAGAGAAGAGAGUCCUGGGCCAAGUGCUAGUGUCUCUCCUUUCAAUUCAAGUGGCAUGAAAAGUGCAAAUACCUUGUGGGUGAAUAUACCUUGUGCUACCUUUCACUUCAGCACAACUACAAGGAUAGGUUAACAGUUCCUGGUGGGUGAGCUUUUUGUUCAUAGACGGAACAUAAUUGAACCAAAUUGGCUGGUGACUUGAAACCUCAGAAGUUUGCACUUCAACUGCUAUUUGUACCUGUAAGAAUUCAAACGACAACUAUCUUAGGUGUGUGUGUACAUAUAUAUAUAUAUGUACAUGUAUGUAUGUAUGUAUGCAUGCAUGCAUACACAGUUACACGUCAAGGAAUAUAUUAGAAAGCCUAAUGUAAUGAGUACUUGUAACUCUUUUUUGAUUGGUAAACAACGAGUACUUGUAAGUUAUAUAUGAAAAUGAUUGAUUUGGGGCUA